UACGGAACGGGCAAGCGUUGUUUGGAAUUACUGGGCGUAAAGAGCGCGUAGGCGGCUUACCCAGUUGGGGGUGAAAGCCCGGAGCUCAACUCCGGAGCUGCCUUCAAAACAGGUACGCUCGAGUCCGGAAGAGGAGGGUGGAAUUCCAAGUGUAGAGGUGAAAUUCGUAGAUAUUGGGAAGAACACCGGUGGCGAAGGCGGCGCCCUGGACCGGCACUGACGCUGAGGCGAGAAAGCGUGGGGAGCAAACAGG
rnacentral:rRNA from 1 species